ACUGGAAUGAAUGGCUAAAUGAGGACUAAACUGUCUCUUACAGCUCAGCCAAUGAAAUUGAUUUUUCAGUACAAAAGCUGAAAUAUACCCACAAGACGAGAAGACCCUGUGGAGCUUUAAACCAGGCCCACUUUAUUUAUGUCCCCCUGUGUUUUUAGUUGGGGCGACUUCGGAGCAUAAAAAAACCUCCGAAACAUGUUAUAUUUAAGAUCAACACAUCAAAAAUAACCACAUAAGACCCAGCAACACCCAAGUUGUCUGAUCAAUGAACCAAGUUACCCCAGGGAUAACAGCGCCAUCCCCUUCUAGAGUCCCUAUCAACAAGGGGGUUUACGACCUCGAUGUUGGAUCAGGACACCCCAAUGGUGCAGCCGCCAUUAAAG
rnacentral:rRNA from 1 species